CUGGAGCGGGGAUGGAGGCUCGCCUCGCUUCCGAGAGGCUGGGGCCGCGCCUGGCUGCACUGAUGCCUUAUCGCCCGUGUCCUCACGCAAGGCUUCACUUUGGUGUCAGGAUCUCGGGGGCUCAGAAAUGCGGGUUCAUUGUGGGUGGAGGGUAAGCCCUUCCUCAGCAGGUCAUGACCAGAGGUGGUCGGACGGCAAGGACUGCUCUCCAGGCACGUCCAGCAGGGACAGUGCGGCCGGGCCCUCCCCUAUCCCUGUCCCUCUGGCGACCCCGCUUGUGCCUGCUGCUUCCUGCUGUUAUCCCUCCCGGUACCACAUUCUAAUCACUUGCGAUUAGAUCGGCACUCAGGCCUCUGGACACCCGAGCAUGACUUCUGGGACAAGCUGUGUCUUCUCCCCCAACCUUUAAAAAUGUGAACCAUGAUUCAGGUGGUGAAUAAAAGCUGGCACGGAAUUAAGCGGUGGAUGGAUGCGACAUCUUUAUCGCUGUGUCCUGAUUGUGGUGCAGGACGGUCCUCGCGGUGCCGUGGCUGUUUCUGUGGCGGU
rnacentral:lncRNA from 1 species